rnacentral:tRNA from 1 species
UGCUCCUAUGGCUCAGCUGGUAGAGCAACUGAUUCGUAAUCAGUAGGCCGCAGGUUCGAAUCCUGUUAGGAGCACCAG